GCCUUUGCUGGGAUCUUUCCCUGAUCCUGGAGGAACUAUGCGAUCGAUGCUUCGAGAUUCUUUUAUAUAUCUAUCUAUUGGGAGCUGAGCUGGGAUGGAGCCCGUGCUUCAAGCUUAUCUACCUAUCUACUACGCAUGAUCCAAUGAUUUACUUGUUUAACUACUUCAUUGGAUUAACUUAUAUAUUUAUUGAUAAAACUGACUGACUGACUGACAUCUCAAGAAUAUGCGCAGUAAAGACUCGCCUCGAACAACAAAACAGGUCAUCAUAAAAACUGACACCAACAUUAACUAGUUGUGCACAGAUAACUAUGUUAAAAGGCAAGAACUCGAUGUUGAUGAUUGUUUAUCGCGAUGGCUGCCCAGACCAUCAAGUAACAAAAGUAAUGAUGAAUAAGUAUGUACUGUACAUCAAAAAAAAUAAAAAAUAAAAUAAAAAAAAGAACAGCUGCAUCCGGGAAGCAUGAUCACCCGGAGUGUAUAUUUGAUGCGACGCGCUAUUGGCAUGACGGGUCAAUUAAUCACGUCAUUUAUCAGAGUGAGUUAUAAUGAGGUGUGUCCGCCUCUCCCUCUUCAACCUGUCUGUAUCUUUCUGGACACAUGGCCAGAGUCAUAUAAUUAAUAUAUAGUAAUAUCAUCGACUUGACUGUCUGUCUGUUCACCCCAUAAAGUAAAGCGAAGAGGGCGCAGCGCCGCAGCGUAGCGUUGGGACAAAAUACAAUACAACCCCACAAAAAAUAAUAAUAAAAAAAAAAAAAGGCUUUAGAAGAAGGGUUGCUUUGGCUUUGGCUCUGGCUGGCUGCUUCAACCAUCCAUGCAAAUCGCGAUGCACGAUGAUGUUAUGUACUGGACAUGUAAUCUACAUGUGCAUGUGCAUGUGCAUGGGACUGUACACGCCC
rnacentral:sRNA from 1 species